UACGUAGGGGGCUAGCGUUGUCCGGAAUCAUUGGGCGUAAAGCGCGUGUAGGCGGUUCGGUAAGUCCGCUGUGAAAGUCGGGGGCUCAACCCUCGAAUGCCGGUGGAUACUGUCGAACUAGAGUGCGGAAGAGGCGAGUGGAAUUCCUGGUGUAGCGGUGAAAUGCGCAGAUAUCAGGAGGAACACCAAUUGCGAAGGCAGCUCGCUGGGACGGUACUGACGCUGAGACGCGAAAGCGUGGGGAGCAAACAGG
rnacentral:rRNA from 1 species